rnacentral:rRNA from 1 species
UAAUUCGAGAGUUUGAUCCUGGCUCAGGACGAACGCUGGCGGCGUGCCUAAUACAUGCAAGUCGAACGAACUCUGGUAUUGAUUGGUGCUUGCAUCAUGAUUUACAUUUGAGUGAGUGGCGAACUGGUGAGUAACACGUGGGAAACCUGCCCAGAAGCGGGGGAUAACACCUGGAAACAGAUGCUAAUACCGCAUAACAACUUGGACCGCAUGGUCCGAGCUUGAAAGAUGGCUUCGGCUAUCACUUUUGGAUGGUCCCGCGGCGUAUUAGCUAGAUGGUGGGGUAACGGCUCACCAUGGCAAUGAUACGUAGCCGACCUGAGAGGGUAAUCGGCCACAUUGGGACUGAGACACGGCCCAAACUCCUACGGGAGGCAGCAGUAGGGAAUCUUCCACAAUGGACGAAAGUCUGAUGGAGCAACGCCGCGUGAGUGAAGAAGGGUUUCGGCUCGUAAAACUCUGUUGUUAAAGAAGAACAUAUCUGAGAGUAACUGUUCAGGUAUUGACGGUAUUUAACCAGAAAGCCACGGCUAACUACGUGCCAGCAGCCGCGGUAAUACGUAGGUGGCAAGCGUUGUCCGGAUUUAUUGGGCGUAAAGCGAGCGCAGGCGGUUUUUUAAGUCUGAUGUGAAAGCCUUCGGCUCAACCGAAGAAGUGCAUCGGAAACUGGGAAACUUGAGUGCAGAAGAGGACAGUGGAACUCCAUGUGUAGCGGUGAAAUGCGUAGAUAUAUGGAAGAACACCAGUGGCGAAGGCGGCUGUCUGGUCUGUAACUGACGCUGAGGCUCGAAAGUAUGGGUAGCAAACAGGAUUAGAUACCCUGGUAGUCCAUACCGUAAACGAUGAAUGCUAAGUGUUGGAGGGUUUCCGCCCUUCAGUGCUGCAGCUAACGCAUUAAGCAUUCCGCCUGGGGAGUACGGCCGCAAGGCUGAAACUCAAAGGAAUUGACGGGGGCCCGCACAAGCGGUGGAGCAUGUGGUUUAAUUCGAAGCUACGCGAAGAACCUUACCAGGUCUUGACAUACUAUGCAAAUCUAAGAGAUUAGACGUUCCCUUCGGGGACAUGGAUACAGGUGGUGCAUGGUUGUCGUCAGCUCGUGUCGUGAGAUGUUGGGUUAAGUCCCGCAACGAGCGCAACCCUUAUUAUCAGUUGCCAGCAUUAAGUUGGGCACUCUGGUGAGACUGCCGGUGACAAACCGGAGGAAGGUGGGGAUGACGUCAAAUCAUCAUGCCCCUUAUGACCUGGGCUACACACGUGCUACAAUGGAUGGUACAACGAGUUGCGAACUCGCGAGAGUAAGCUAAUCUCUUAAAGCCAUUCUCAGUUCGGAUUGUAGGCUGCAACUCGCCUACAUGAAGUCGGAAUCGCUAGUAAUCGCGGAUCAGCAUGCCGCGGUGAAUACGUUCCCGGGCCUUGUACACACCGCCCGUCACACCAUGAGAGUUUGUAACACCCAAAGUCGGUGGGGUAACCUUUUAGGAACCAGCCGCCUAAGGUGGGACAGAUGAUUAGGGUGAAGUCGUAACAAGGUAGCCGUAGGAGAACCUGCGGCUGGAUCACCUCCUUU